AGUUGAUAAAGGGCUCAUUGGCAUAGACAAAAGACAGUGCACCCUAUCCCAGCCAUACAGAUCUCUUGGCUCUCACUCAGGAAGAAAAAAAGUCGAAAGGAUUUUGUGUAAGUAUGAAGAGUGAAUUUUUAUGCUGUGAUUUCUCUUCUACUUUUUAAGUGUAGCUACAACUUAUGAAAUGUUUCUUCUUUUCCAUUGCAGGAGCUAAAUAAACUCUGCUCCAUAAAAUUUUAAAAAUUCUUGAAAUGUGGCAUUCCAGACUUCCCUCACAGCAAUCAAAAGACCAUGAAGAUAUCGAGGACCAAGAUUCCAACAGCAGCUACAAGUGCUAGAAUAUACAAUGAAACUCUAGCUUCAGUCAGACAGAUGCAGCAAUAACAUUCUUUGCCUCUAACUAACAAAAUCCGUGGCCCUGCAUAUGCGAAGCUAUGUCUGUGCUGCAGACAAGUAAG
rnacentral:lncRNA from 1 species